rnacentral:rRNA from 1 species
CCUACGGGGGGCAGCAGUGGGGAAUAUUGCACAAUGGGCGCAAGCCUGAUGCAGCCAUGCCGCGUGUGUGAAGAAGGCCUUCGGGUUGUAAAGCACUUUCAGCGGGGAGGAAGGCGGUGAGGUUAAUAACCUCAUCGAUUGACGUUACCCGCAGAAGAAGCACCGGCUAACUCCGUGCCAGCAGCCGCGGUAAUACGGAGGGUGCAAGCGUUAAUCGGAAUUACUGGGCGUAAAGCGCACGCAGGCGGUCUGUCAAGUCGGAUGUGAAAUCCCCGGGCUCAACCUGGGAACUGCAUUCGAAACUGGCAGGCUAGAGUCUUGUAGAGGGGGGUAGAAUUCCAGGUGUAGCGGUGAAAUGCGUAGAGAUCUGGAGGAAUACCGGUGGCGAAGGCGGCCCCCUGGACAAAGACUAACGCUCAGGUGCGAAAGCGUGGGGAGCAAACAGGAUUAGAUACCCUAGUAGUC